AGCGAACGCUGGCGGCAGGCCUAACACAUGCAAGUCGAACGAGCCUUCGGGCUAGUGGCGGACGGGUGAGUAACACGUGGGCACGUACCUUUAGGUUCGGAAUAACUCAGGGAAACUUGCGCUAAUACCGGAUGUGCCCUUCGGGGGAAAGAUUUAUCGCCUUUAGAGCGGCCCGCGUUAGAUUAGCUAGUUGGUGGGGUAAUGGCCCACCAAGGCUACGAUCUAUAGCUGGUCUUAGAGGAUGAUCAGCCACACUGGGACUGAGACACGGCCCAGACUCCUACGGGAGGCAGCAGUGGGGAAUCUUGCGCAAUGGGCGAAAGCCUGACGCAGCCAUGCCGCGUGAAUGAUGAAGGUCUUAGGAUUGUAAAAUUCUUUUAGCAGGGACGAUAAUGACGGUACCUGCAGAAAAAGCCCCGGCUAACUUCGUGCCAGCCGCCGCAGUAA
rnacentral:rRNA from 1 species